GGUCCCAUAGCUCAGUUGGUUAGAGCGUCGUACUAAUAUUGCAAUUACCUACUACAAUAUGGAGUAAAUGCGAAGGCCGAGAGUUCGAGCCUCUCUGGGACCA